CGCCAAUCGGCGCCCGCCGUUCCUUGAGCGGCGUGUGCUGUCGGCCAAUCGGAGCGCGGCGCGAGGUUACCCCAGAGACGCGCGGGACACGCCCCCCUAAGCUCUGAUUGGCCGCGCGGCGCCACGCGAGGGGCGGUGAUUGGCUGCGGGGGCGGAGGGCCCCGCCCCGAGGCGAUCACGUGAGCGCGGCGGGCCGGCGGCGGCAGCGGAGCGGGCGCCAUGAAGCACUACGAGGUGAGGCGGCACCGCCGGGCCCGGGCCUGCACCCGGUUCUCCCCGCGCUGCCGCCCUCCGCCCGGCCCUGAGCCGCGCCGCUCCCGGGGCUGCGCCCGGGGUUGGGGGAGGUCAGGGUCGGGGUCGCCGCGGCCGUACUGCGCACGCGUUGUCCCUCAGGGGGCAGCGGCACCGCGCAUGCGUGCGGCCUGUGGGGGCGGGAGGAGAGUGCGCAUGUGCGCAGCGACGGGAGGGGCGGGGGGAGCGAACGCGCAUGCGUGCGGCGCCGCGGGGCUGUGCGUGCGCAUGCGCGCCGGGCCCGAUGCGAUGGAGCGCGCAUGCGCAGUGCGCGGUCCGUGCGGCCUGGGGGUGUGCGCGCGUGCGGUUUGCUGGGCACGUCGUGCGCAUGCGCAGUGCGGAGCCCUGGGCCCACCGUGUGUCCCCGUUGGGGUGACGCGGGCUGUCACGGCCUGCUGUACCCCCCCCCAAGGGUGACACCCCCCUGUCCCCAGGGCUGUGACACCCCCCUGCCCCCCCCAUAGGGUGACACAGCCCCACCAGCAGCGCACUGCCGGAGGGGUGACAACCCCAAUGUCCCCAGCGGGGUGUCGGGGGGGAGUGGGGGGGCGACACGUCCCCAACGGGGUGACACAACACCACGUCCCCACCAGAGCGUCCCCUGUCUCCACCAGGGUGACAGCACCGGUCCCCAGCAGGGUGACACGACCCCCACGUCCCCAGCAGGGUGACAGCGGUGACACCCCACUGUCCCCCCCGCCUUGUCACAGGGGUGGCGCAUCCCCUGCCCCAAUGGGGUGACAGCGACCCCCAACCCCUAUGGGGUGAAAGAGACCCCUGACCCCAAUGGGGUGAAAGGGACCCUCGACCCCAAUGGAGUGAAAGGGACCUUUGACCUCAAUGGGGUGAAAGGGACCCCCAACCCAAUGGGGUGACAGAGACCCCCAACCCCAAUGGGGUGAAAGGGACCCCUGACCCCAAUGGGGUGAAAGGAACCCCUGACCCCAAUGGAGUGAAAGGGACCCCCAAGCCAAUGGGGUGAAAGGGACCCCUGACCCCAAUGGGAUGACAGGGACCCCCAAUCCAAUGGGGUGACACCGACCCCCAACCCCUAUGGGGUGAAAGAGACCCCUGACCCCAAUGGGGUGACAGGGACCCCCAACCCCAGUGGGGUGAAAGAGACCCCCAACCCCAGUGGGGUGAAAGGGACCCCUGACCCCAACGGGGUGAAAGGGACCCCCGAUCUGAAUGGGGUGAAAGAGAUCCCUGACCCCAAUGGGGUGACAGAGACCCCCAACCCCAAUGGGGUGAAAGGGACCCCCGACCCCAAUUAGGAGACACCGACCCCAAUGGUGUGACGCAGCCCCCGUCCCCACCACCACGUCCCCAAAUCCCCCCCCCGGGGGGGCUUCACCCCCUCCCCUCCCCCCCAGAUGCCACCUGGAUGCCACCAAGAAGUCACUCAGAUGCCACCAACCCCCCCCGAACCUUUUGUACCCCCCCCCCAAUUCCCCCACGCUCCGUACCCCACGCAGCCUUACCUCCCGCUCCCCCAUCCCCCAUCUCAGCCACCCUCAACUGCCACCUGUCCCCAAAUGCCACCUCCCC
rnacentral:lncRNA from 1 species